rnacentral:tRNA from 1 species
GCCUGGGUGGCGGAAUUGGUAGACGCUGGGGACUCAAAAUCCCCUGGCCUAUAAGGCCGUGAGGGUUCGACUCCCUCCCCAGGCA